rnacentral:tRNA from 1 species
GGAGAGGUGGCCGAGAGGUCGAAGGCGGCAGACUCGAAAUCUGUUGACCUGGCAACAGGUCCGAGGGUUCGAAUCCCUCCCUCUCCG